rnacentral:rRNA from 1 species
GAAUUCGCCCUUAGAGUUUGAUCCUGGCUCAGGACGAACGCUGGCGGCGCGCCUAACACAUGCAAGUCGAACGAGCGAGAGAGAGCUUGCUUUCUCGAGCGAGUGGCGAACGGGUGAGUAACGCGUGAGGAACCUGCCUCAAAGAGGGGGACAACAGUUGGAAACGACUGCUAAUACCGCAUAAGCCCACGGGUCGGCAUCGACCAGAGGGAAAAGGAGCAAUCCGCUUUGAGAUGGCCUCGCGUCCGAUUAGCUAGUUGGUGAGGUAAUGGCCCACCAAGGCGACGAUCGGUAGCCGGACUGAGAGGUUGAACGGCCACAUUGGGACUGAGACACGGCCCAGACUCCUACGGGAGGCAGCAGUGGGGAAUAUUGCACAAUGGGGGAAACCCUGAUGCAGCGACGCCGCGUGGAGGAAGAAGGUCUUCGGAUUGUAAACUCCUGUUGUUGGGGAAGAUAAUGACGGUACCCAACAAGGAAGUGACGGCUAACUACGUGCCAGCAGCCGCGGUAAAACGUAGGUCACAAGCGUUGUCCGGAAUUACUGGGUGUAAAGGGAGCGCAGGCGGGAAGACAAGUUGGAAGUGAAAUCUAUGGGCUCAACCCAUAAACUGCUUUCAAAACUGUUUUUCUUGAGUAGUGCAGAGGUAGGCGGAAUUCCCGGUGUAGCGGUGGAAUGCGUAGAUAUCGGGAGGAACACCAGUGGCGAAGGCGGCCUACUGGGCACCAACUGACGCUGAGGCUCGAAAGUGUGGGUAGCAAACAGAAAGAGAUACCCUGGUAGUCCACACCGUAAACGAUCACUAUAAGGGGUUGGAGGAUUGACCCCUUCAGUGCCGCAGUUAACCCAAUAAGUAAUCCACUUGGGGAGUACGACCGCAAGGUUGAAACUCAAAGGAAUUGACGGGGGCCCGCACAAGCAGUGGAGUAUGUGGUUUAAUUCGACGCAACGCGAAGAACCUUACCAAGUCUUGACAUCCCUUGACAGGCAUAGAAAUAUGUUUUCUCUUCGGAGCAAGGAGACAGGUGGUGCAUGGUUGUCGUCAGCUCGUGUCGUGAGAUGUUGGGUUAAGUCCCGCAACGAGCGCAACCCUUAUGGUCAGUUACUACGCAAGAGGACUCUGGCCAGACUGCCGUUGACAAAACGGAGGAAGGUGGGGAUGACGUCAAAUCAUCAUGCCCUUUAUGACUUGGGCUACACACGUACUACAAUGGCGUUAAACAAAGAGAAGCAAGACCGCGAGGUGGAGCAAAACUCAGAAACAACGUCCCAGUUCGGACUGCAGGCUGCAACUCGCCUGCAUGAAGUCGGAAUUGCUAGUAAUCGUGGAUCAGCAUGCCACGGUGAAUACGUUCCCGGGCCUUGCACACACCGCCCGUCA